ACAACAUACUCAACAAUACACACAAAAAUUUCAAUCCCAUAACUUUACAUUAUUUGAUCCGAAAUCAAGGUAUAGACAGCAAACAUGGCCGCUUGCAAAGUUGGUUUCUUCACCGUCCUCCUUGUGUGUGGUAUUUUUUUAUUGGGAAGCAAUGUGGAGCUUGGAAAUGCUCAGUUUUGCACUCAGGAAUGCAAUCCUAGAGCAACCUAUAUGAUCUGCCCACCUAAUACCAGGACUGAGCCUGUUUGUAGAAAUUGUUGUCAAGUUGCAAACACCGGCUGUCAACUCUUUGAUUCCAAGGAUUCGCCACUUUGCACCUAGACUGAGUCUUUUGCAAGGUUGUAUCGAUCAUUCCAAAUGUUUAAAUCAAGUAAUUGCAACCGUAAUAAUAAUAAUGUCUCAAUCAUCAAUAUAGAUGGAAUAAGAUUGUAAGACUCUUGAAUAACUAUGCAUGGGGGUGAGACUACUAGUAUAGUCUAUUACCUUUAUUGUAAUCAAACCUCACUAUUGUAGUGUGGUUUUGUUGUUGUUGUUAAAUGUGAACUGUUUGGGUUGUUAUUACUUCUGUUUGAAUUCGAGGAGGAAUGUGCAAAUGCUAAGUUUUAAUUUC